AUUGAACGCUGGCGGCAGGCCUAACACAUGCAAGUCGGACGGUAGCACAGAGAGCUUGCUCUCGGGUGACGAGUGGCGGACGGGUGAGUAAUGUCUGGGGAUCUGCCCGAUAGAGGGGGAUAACCACUGGAAACGGUGGCUAAUACCGCAUAACGUCGCAAGACCAAAGAGGGGGACCUUCGGGCCUCUCACUAUCGGAUGAACCCAGAUGGGAUUAGCUAGUAGGCGGGGUAACGGCCCACCUAGGCGACGAUCCCUAGCUGGUCUGAGAGGAUGACCAGCCACACUGGAACUGAGACACGGUCCAGACUCCUACGGGAGGCAGCAGUGGGGAAUAUUGCACAAUGGGCGCAAGCCUGAUGCAGCCAUGCCGCGUGUAUGAAGAAGGCCUUCGGGUUGUAAAGUACUUUCAGCGGGGAGGAAGGCAGUGAGGUUAAUAACCUUACUGAUUGACGUUACCCGCAGAAGAAGCACCGGCUAACUCCGUGCCAGCAGCCGCGGUAAUACGGAGGGUGCAAGCGUUAAUCGGAAUUACUGGGCGUAAAGCGCACGCAGGCGGUCUGUUAAGUCAGAUGUGAAAUCCCCGGGCUUAACCUGGGAACUGCAUUUGAAACUGGCAGGCUUGAGUCUCGUAGAGGGGGGUAGAAUUCCAGGUGUAGCGGUGAAAUGCGUAGAGAUCUGGAGGAAUACCGGUGGCGAAGGCGGCCCCCUGGACGAAGACUGACGCUCAGUGCGAAAGCGUGGGGAGCAAACAGGAUUAGAUACCCUG
rnacentral:rRNA from 1 species